rnacentral:rRNA from 1 species
UACGGGGGGGGCAAGCGUUGUUCGGAAUUACUGGGCGUAAAGGGCUCGUAGGCGGCCAACUAAGUCAGACGUGAAAUCCCCAGGCUCAACCUGGGAACUGCGUCUGAUACUGGAUGGCUUGAAUCCGGGAGAGGGAUGCAGAAUUCCAGGUGUAGCGGUGAAAUGCGUAGAUAUCUGGAGGAAUACCGGUGGCGAAGGCAGCUCACUGGGACGGUACUGACGCUGAGACGCGAAAGCGUGGGGAGCAAACAGG